UUUUAUACUCACUCAUACACAUGACAUCUAGUCAUAUUUGAU
rnacentral:sRNA from 1 species